rnacentral:lncRNA from 1 species
GCAAGAGAUAUGGCUCUCCCUUAACACAGGUCAGUCAUUUAUCGUCCCCUUCUGGCAGACUAUCAUCGUUUCCUCAAGACCAUACUCGCAAAUGGUGUCAAGGGAGAGCCAAAAAUUCAGUUCCUUAAAUUUUCCUGUCAAGAUGCUGACUAAAUAUAGUUAUUCUAUUUAGUAGUACCUGAGAAAGUGUGAUGGAAAUAUAAGUGGUAAAAAUGGAUGAGUUUUUAGAAUUCCUAUACUACACUCGCACAAAAUUAAAAUAAUGUGUGUUACACUGAAACAUAGAAUUCAAACUUUGAGGGAUCUAAUGUAAUUGUGCAUAUUAACAUUAAACAAUGUAUGUGUCCUGUGUCAAGGACCUGACUAGCAAUCACCAAACACAAUGCACAAACAAGUGGCUGUCAAAAUGACAGCAAACUUGGUUUUCUUUACAUCUAUUUAUUGGCCAUUACACCUGAAUGCAAUAUUAAAACAUUGUCAAUAUAGAAGUAGACAUCAAUUUGGCCAUAAGUAUAAACACC